UUUUUCUAUGCAAUGAUUUGACUUGCAGUGAGAAAUAACAUUCCUUCGAUGAAUCCGCAGUAAAGAUACUUUCAUCACUGUACAGUUGAACGUGCUCAUAAAGAAAGGUGCGUCUCAACUUGCAAUGCUUCCUGGAUUUUAGUAAAUAUUUUGAUGUUGAAGUAAACUGAUUCUUACCUGCAACAGAAGAGAAAAACAACAAAAAUUGUAGAUUUUAAAUUGUAAAAUAAUUUAAAAUAAAAAAUAAAAAAGAUUUCAGGACGAAAGGCGAAGUCAAUACCUAACAAAUUUGCCAAAAAUGAUCCUGGUGCCUAUGAAUGGAUCAUGGUAAAACUUAUGGAAAAAAUAUGAACGGAUUCCAAUCUACGCACAGUAUCAUUAAAUGAUACUGUGCGUAGAUUGGACAACAAAUUCUCUCACAAAUUUUGUGCGAUGUGUAUCGAUUCAUUUCAAUUCUUACUAAACAUUAUCGAUGAUUUUUUCAAUGACGUCACCUCUGGACGGACCAUUAUCUAUAUAUUACCUCGUCUUUCUUCUCCGUGUACAGAACUGUAAUCGAAUGAUUUUGAUCAGUAAAUGUGUAUCCUAACGAUGCUCAUUAUUGAUCAAAGUCAUUCGAUAAGGAGUCAACAAUUUAUUUGUACACGUUUCAAGUGUAGUGCGUCAACGGUGUCAUCAUUGAACGAGUUCAUCAGAGAAAAUUCCGUAAGAAACUUCGAUCCAUUCAAAUCGACCGAAUUCGACAUGAGAGGGACCGAGCGUAGAGUGGCAAUACUGAUUAUAAGCUGGAGGCAACAUGACGAACCCUCGUAAAGACAAGAACCAACUGAUUGUCCGGCUGUCAAUCAGGUCCAUCAGACCUCUUCCUGAUUAGCUGCUCCUCCAUUGUUGCUGUAGUGAACCUUUAUUCUGUUGAAUAAGGUGUUGUUCCAGUUAAUUUUUUUCUCUAAUCUUCAUUUUUCGCCCUACCCGAUAAUAUGGUUUAAAUUGGAGGGUGCGGAAUCUAUGUAAAAUGUUCCAGGGUGACUUCUUCAGGGUGACAAGUUUUCAUCUAUUUCAAAAUUCGCAGACUUAUCAAAGAUUUUGAGCACAAAAUUCUCCGACUUUAAAAUUUUUGGGGUGAGAUGUGCAGAUUUUUUGUGAGAAUUCUUUGCACGGAAAAUUUUAAGCGCGAAGUCUCUUGACAUUAGAACGAUAAAAUGUUUUAGGCUAGAAUAAAAAAUUUCAAAAUUCCGCAUCCAAAUUCUCAGACUUUUCAGGGUUCAGCAAAUUUCCUUAACUUUUGCAGGUUUUACCUCCCAAAUCAAGGGCUUAGCAGUUCUCGGGGCACCACUUCACCAUUGGUCUAGAUAUACAGGGAUACCAAUGAGGGUGCCUACGUAUGUCUUGGUCUCACUACACACAGAGAAUGGACGACUCACUCUUCUUUCUUUUUUCUAGUUGAAAACAAGUUUUUAACUCUCUUAAAACGCCCCGGUUUUUUUUCUUCAUUUUAUGUUUUGAAUCUUGUACAUUUUCCAGAAGCCAUGCCGCAGAUUUAAUUGUUAUUUCACUAUACCAGAGGUUCAUUUCCGAUGUCUUCCCAUUUCCAUAUUAAAAGGCUUGCGGUCUUUGACCCAGUUCUCAAAUUGAUGGACAUCUAUCAUUGAAGCAAUUAUUUCUUACAGCGGGCUGAUUGUUGAAAUUAUAGACAAAGCUAUACACAAAGAAAAGAUAGGGAAUACUGAGCUAUCCUAUUGGUUGAAACGAGUGGUUCUUAUAGACUAAGAGGGAAAAUAAUUGACGAACUGUAGGGUCUCUUGUUGGUUGCCGUUGGUUAGUCCAUUACCUACCUCCUUUGUAAAUUGCAACCACCCGCUUCCAUGACUAAUAGGAUCCCUCCUUAUCCAUUUUGUCGUCUUUGUCUACAGCUUUGUCUACCAAUUUUAACUACUAGCCCGCACUGGAUUUAGACAUUUUUAAUAUACCUAUAUUGACCGAUAUUUUGUGAUUUUGCGAAAUGAACCUGUUGUUUUGUCAUAAGGUACGUAAGCGAAUUCAAGUUUUUCAUCUAAAAUAGCUAAAAUGAAGCCACUGUUUUGAAACGACGUAUGUACCCAUCAAAAGGAUCCCCCCAUUUUCCCUCUGCCUUAUAUGUCUAUCGCUUUGUCUAUCAAUACAAUUAACCAGCUCACAGGUCGGCAACGUCGGGGCUGCGACCGUGGGGCGUGGGGUCGCGAUCCGAUUCUGAUAGUGAUUUUGUAGAUGAGAGGCUCAAGGCUCGAGAGGCCCCAAUCGGCACAAGAUCCAUAAAAGUUGCUGUCAUAAGAUUGAUGCGUGACCACGAGUUCGCUGCUCGAACCCGUUCCUGACUAAUGGCCUGCGUCUGCAUAAACUGCACUCCACACCCAGGGUCCCGGCAUCCCAGCACGGGGCACAGGACUGGGACUAAGGGGUCCUAUUCUUGGAAAAUUCUCUGGGUGCGUCCAUCAUGAUUAUGCGUCGCAGCCGUGCGGAGAGACCUUUGUCAAGAUGCUCUGCUGCGGGACGAUUAUUGAAAUUAAUAGACAAAGCUGUAGACAGAGUAGACAUAUGGAAUACGGAGCGAUCCUAUUGGUUGAAGUAGGUGGUUCCUGUAGACUAAGGAAGAAAAUGAAUAAGGAAUAAAUUUUUCGCUCAGACGCCACUAGUUUCAUUAUUUCAAAACGUCAUUUUUGCACUUAUUGCAACAAUAUUGACUCACAAGCAGAAACUAAAAUACACGAUGCGCGAUGUUUUCUAGUAUUUGAAUACAUGAUACAGUCAUUAUCAACGCAGGUUUGGAUAGAUCUAGAUUUUACUGAUGAGCAAGGAUUAACCAUCAAAAUACGAUUCUGAGACACGCAUAAUAAUAAAAAAUACAUCUUCAUUUCUUUAAGAUAUAAACUGCUUAUAAUUAUGUUCAAUGAUUAAUUUUCGAAUAAUAUCAUACAAGGCUUUUGUUCGUAUCUAAGCAAUAAGGAAUGACAAUGCCUCGUGCAUCUUAUUUUCCACCGCGUUCAUGACAUUUACAGCGACGGUCAACUUUGGCUCACAACUCGGGGGAAAAUUCGACGCAGGUCGCAUUUAAUCUUAUGAGCCUAUUAAUUUAUCGGAGAAUGGACUGGGAAGACUACGCUAAAACACCCGGUGUUCGUACCUUAUAUGGGUGCAUUACACGCUUGAUUGUCAACUUCACUUCUGAUGGCGAGCGCCGAUUAUAAAGAUCAGUAUGAAGGUACAGGCGUUAAGCCGGAAGUUACACAGCUCAUACUCUCAGCUGCGUUAUUCUGAAAGGUGGCUGACAUUUUGACAAGCUGGUCGAUAGGGGAGGUAAGAAAACUUUCCCUCAGUUUCACUCGCUUUUGGCACAGUUAUACUGAUACCAUUCGAUAUGGACAACUCUGGCUUGAAUGAGGAGCGGUACACUACUAAAAUGAGAUCUGAGUCAUUUACCACAAACUUAGUGCCCAUUCUUCUACAGGGUCUACAAAAAUUUAAUUUUGGAUUAGCCUGAUGUUACCAAGGUAUUUGUUAGUACUUAAAAUGAAAUUUCCUGAUUUUUUGCACGAAUAAAUUGACACUUGUUUUAUUUAACAAACCAAUGUAUUUGAUGAUUCGAAUUAAAUGUUUCACUGUUACAUGCGCUGAACUGCAUGUACACAGUUUGAAAAAAGCGUGAUAUUUUCAAGGUAUUUCCUGGUACUUAAAAUGAAAUUUUCUGAUUUUUCGCACGAAUAAAACAACACUUGUUUGGUUCAACAAACCAACAUAUUUGAUGAGUCGAACUAAAUGUUUCACUUUUGCAUGCUCUAAACUGCAUGUAUAGGUUCAGUUUGGAAAAAGUUUGACGCAAAUGGAAUUUUCUGAUCCAUGACCGAUUUUCCC
rnacentral:lncRNA from 1 species